GGGCCUUGCAAAAACAGCGGGGAAA
rnacentral:misc_RNA from 1 species